rnacentral:rRNA from 1 species
UAAGGAAUAUUGGUCAAUGGAGGCAAGUCUGAACCAGCCAUGCCGCGUGGAGGAUGAAGGUCCUCUGGAUUGUAAACUUCUUUUAUCUGGGACGAAACACUCCUAUUCUUAGGGGCCUGACGGUACCAGAUGAAUAAGCACCGGCUAACUCCGUGCCAGCAGCCGCGGUAAUACGGAGGGUGCAAGCGUUAUCCGGAUUCACUGGGUUUAAAGGGUGCGUAGGUGGGUAUGUAAGUCAGUGGUGAAAUCCCCGAGCUUAACUUGGGAACUGCCGUUGAUACUAUAUAUCUUGAAUACCGUAGAGGUAAGCGGAAUAUGUCAUGUAGCGGUGAAAUGCUUAGAUAUGACAUGGAACACCAAUUGCGAAGGCAGCUUACUAUGCGGUGAUUGACACUGAGGCACGAAAGCGUGGGUAGCAAACA